rnacentral:rRNA from 1 species
UACGUAGGGUGCAAGCGUUGUCCGGAAUUAUUGGGCGUAAAGAGCUCGUAGGCGGUUUGUCGCGUCGAAUGUGAAAACCCGGGGCUCAACUCCGGGCCUGCAUUCGAUACGGGCAGACUAGAGUUCGGUAGGGGAGUCUGGAAUUCCUGGUGUAGCGGUGAAAUGCGCAGAUAUCAGGAGGAACACCGGUGGCGAAGGCGGGUCUCUGGGCCGAUACUGACGCUGAGGAGCGAAAGCGUGGGGAGCAAACAGG